rnacentral:rRNA from 1 species
UACGUAGGGGGCAAGCGUUGUCCGGAUUCAUUGGGCGUAAAGAGUGUGUAGGCGGUGUUCCCAGUCUGUUGUGAAAUCUCCCGGCUUAACUGGGAGGGUGCAGCGGAAACUAGAAUGCUAGAGGGUGGGAGAGGUAAGCGGAAUUCCUGGUGUAGCGGUGAAAUGCGUAGAUAUCAGGAGGAACACCUGUGGUGUAGACAGCUUGCUGGACCACUUCUGACGCUGAGACACGAAAGCGUGGGUAGCAAACAGG